rnacentral:rRNA from 1 species
GAUGAACGCUGGCGGCGUGCCUAAUACAUGCAAGUAGAACGCUGAAGGAAGGAGCUUGCUCUUUCCGGAUGAGUUGCGAACGGGUGAGUAACGCGUAGGUAACCUGCCUGGUAGCGGGGGAUAACUAUUGGAAACGAUAGCUAAUACCGCAUAACAGUAGAUGUUGCAUGACAACUAUUUGAAAGGGGCAAUUGCUCCACUACCAGAUGGACCUGCGUUGUAUUAGCUAGUUGGUGAGGUAACGGCUCACCAAGGCGACGAUACAUAGCCGACCUGAGAGGGUGAUCGGCCACACUGAGACUGAGACACGGCCCAGACUCCUACGGGAGGCAGCAGUAGGGAAUCUUCGGCAAUGGACGGAAGUCUGACCGAGCAACGCCGCGUGAGUGAAGAAGGUUUUCGGAUCGUAAAGCUCUGUUGUAAGAGAAGAACGAGUGUGAGAGUGGAAAGUUCACACUGUGACGGUAUCUUACCAGAAAGGGACGGCUAACUACGUG